GGCGAAGGGGGGAAGCGGCGGCGCCCGGCGUGGCGGCGGGAACCGGGCUGCCGAUGGGACUUUACGUCGCCCUGGAGCUCCUGAUCGCGCUGCUGGCGCUGCUGGGGAACGUGCUGGUCUGCUGGUCUGUGGCCGCCAACAACAACCUCAAGACGGCCACCAAUUACUUCCUGGUGUCCCUGGCGGUGGCAGACAUCGCGGUCGGAGCUUUCGCCAUCCCGUUCGCCAUCACCAUUAGCCUGGGGCUCGACAUCCCGUUCCACCCCUGCCUCUUCCUCGCCUGCUUCGUCCUGGUGCUGACACAGAGCUCCAUCUUCAGCCUGCUCGGCGUGGCCAUCGACCGCUACCUGGCCGUCAGCAUCCACCUCAGAUACAGUGGGCUGAUAACUGGGAGGCGUGCCAGACUGAUUAUAGCAAUCUUCUGGAUCCUGUCCUUGUUGAUUGGGCUAACUCCGUUUUUUGGUUGGAACCAAAGACGUCAGGUGAAGGUGGAAUGCCAGAACAACACCACAGCCCCCUGGUACUCCCACACAGGCAACGAUUCCUGUCCCCGGAACAACACAGGGGAAUGUCUCUUUCUGAAGGUGGUUGACAUGAAGUAUAUGAUUUACUUCAACUUCCUGGGCUGUGUUUUAACUCCUCUGCUUAUCAUGCUGGGAAUUUAUAUAAAAAUCUUCACCGUGGCCAGAAAGCAAAUGCAGAAGAUAGAGCUGAACUCUGUGAAUUCCAACACGUCCAGGACAUUUCUACAGAACCAAGUCAGAGUUGCGAAAUCCCUCUCCAUCAUUGUUGGCUUCUUUGCUUUCUGUUGGCUCCCACUUCACAUCAUUAACUGCAUUUAUUAUUUCCACCCACAGUACUUCAAGAUCAUGGGCCCCAGCCUCAUGGAUGCUGCCAUCAUCCUGUCUCACGCCAACUCUGUUGGGAAUCCCAUCAUCUAUGCUUACAAGAUUCAGGAAUUCCGCAAUACCUUCCGUAAAAUUAUUUUCAAACAUAUCCUGUGUCGGGUAGACAAUAACUUUGAGCACAACAGAAGCACCGUCCAGCACACCACAUACACAAGGCACAGAAGCGUUGACAUGAGUAUCUGUGGUAGCUGAUAUUUAUAUGGACUGUUCACAAACACACCCUGGACAAUGGCAAGUAUGCAUCAGUGUGGGGAGAGUGACAAAGGAAGGGAACAGAACAUGGAAUACAAAUAGAGAAACUUAGCACCAGCUCAGUCCUAACCCUACAAGUAGUAAUUAUCCAAAAAGAACAGAAAUUAACAGAACUGGCUGAUGGUAACAUUUUAGGCAAUUAAUUGGUGUAUGGAUCACAGGUACUGACAGCGCUUGGAGGCACUCACAUAUAAACUGUUCAAGGAUUUUACUGGCAGUUGCACUGUCUGGUUAUUAAUCCUGCACCUGUUGUUUAGCAUGGAACUGCUUUAAUCCAGAAGCCUGAUGGAGGUGUUCACAUCAAACUGUGAAGGCAGUUACUGCUUCGGUGACUCAAAAAGACAUGUUUUCAAAAGCAGCCAUAACUUUACGUCAGUCGAUGAGUUAAUACUUUUAUUAUGAAGCACACUAAAUACCAAAUGUGUAGCCGAGAACUGUGGGUGCGAACAUCUGGGCUUUGCAGUCGGGAAUAGGAGGGGAAACAUCUAAUGUCAAAGACAAAACUGACAAGCAAAGCACAGUCUGUUCUCUCUAUCAUUCCCUCUCUGGUCACUCGCACCUGUAAAUCUCCAUGAUUCCAUGGGCAACAAUCCAAGCACACAGGGACUGUGUGAUUACUGCACUGUAAUACUGAUGCUCACUUCUGUGGGAUUGCAAUGACAUGGUACCUCAUUGCCUUGCCAACUGAGCAGGGAGAAUGGGUUUCCCAAGAUACCCUCCCAGACCCUUAGACUGUUCUAAUUAAGGUCUUCUUUGUGAUCCAGCCAGCUACGUCCAACAGACAUCCUUGGUGAGGCCAGUACACCUCAAGUUGUUCAUUGCACUAGCCAGCAGUGGUAAACAAAGGCCAGGACCUUCUGGCUUAGGUCACAAGUAGGAGUUGGCCACCACACUCCUCGAGCCUGCCUCACCUUUCAAUAUGAUCAUGACUGAUCUAUGCCGGCCUCAACUCCUCUUCUGUGCCAGUUCCCCAUAAUCCACAAUAGAACAUAGAACAGUACAACACUGGACAGGCCAUUUGGCCCACAAUGUUGUGCUGAUCUUGAUGCCAAUUUAUUCUAAAUGUCUCCCUCCUGUGUAUCAUCCAUAACCCCCCCAUUCCCUUCAUAUUCAUGUGUCUAUCUAAAAGCCUCAAACUCCACCAAACUGCCAGUUUCUACUACUACCCCUGGUGACCCAUUCCAGGCACCUACCGCUCUCUGCGUAAAAACUUGCCCCUCAUGUCGCCUUUAAACUUCCCUCCUCUAUCCUUAAAAAACAUGCCCUCUGGUGUUUGACAUUUCAACCCUGGGGAACAGAUUCUGACUGUCUACUCUAUCUAUGCCUCUCAUAAUCUUACACACCUCCAUCAGGUCUCCCCUCAGCUUCUGAUGUUCUAGGAAGAACAACCCAAGUUUGUCCAACCUUUCCUUAUAGCUCAUACCCUCGAAUCCAGGCACCAUCCUGGUAAACCUCUUCUGUACCUUUUCCACAGUCUCCACAUCCUUCCUAUAAUGGGGCGACCAGAACACAGUCAGACCACAAUGCUCCAUGUAGUCUGACUAAAGUUUUAUAUAGCUGCAGCAUGACUUCCUUACUCUUAUACUCGACACCCCUACCAAUGAAGGCAAACAUUCCAUAUACCUUCUUUACCACCAUGUGGAGUGACUUUCAGUGAACUAUGGACCUGGACCCCAAGAUCCCUCUGUACCUCAAUGCUAUAAAGGGGCUCACCAUUAACUGUAUACUUUCUCCUUUCAUUUGACCUCCCAAAGUGCAACACUUCACACUUGCUUGGAUAAAAUUCCAUCCACCACUUGCUAAUUCACCCACCUAUAUUUUCAUCCAAAUCAUUGAUAUAUAUCACAAACAAUAGAGGCCCCACCACUGAUCUGUGCGGAACACUACCGGUCGCGGACCUCCAGCCAGAAUAACAGUGUUUCAAAUGUUUAUCUAUCUCCACCUUAAAUAUGGCCUCUACUGGGGGGCAGAGAAUUCCAGAAAUUCGGUCCCCUCUGAGAGAAGAAAUUUCUACAACCCGUUUUAAGUGAGUGGCUCUUCAUUUUGCAUCUGUUGUGGCAUCUGGCCCUCAUGUUCAUUCGCCUUGCACUGGAAAGAUGCUGACGUUACUCCUCAUAAAAUCAACAUAGAAAUGCCAGAAAUUCUGGGGCCAUGUACUUUAACGUAGCAAAGAGAACAGUUGCUGUCGCAGUGUUCAGGAUUUUCUUUUUAUAUUUUAACUCCCUGUGCAAUGGCUUUAACAUCCCAGCAAGUGUUUUCCACUCUCCCUUCACACACAAAUCAAGCUGCCCAUGUUUUCACACUUAUUGCCAGCAUUGUCACUGUGAAGGUUCUGAGCUGGGAACACUGGCUGCAGAGACAACGCACUGCAUUUAACUAUGGGGCUGCACUCUCACCACCUGACACUGAGUGCAUAUCACAGAUCAUACAGUCUGUGCUGAAAGUCUUUGUAGAAAUGGAAAAGCAACAUUAUGCAGAGGUGGCAGUCGAACAUGGGUAGUGCACAACUGUAAUGUUCCUUUACCCAAGACCAACUUCCUUAAUCAAUACCGAGCUGCAAUUUUGUGGAAAUGUUGGAUUCUGUAACAUCAAGCCUUUAUGUGGGGCA